GGACGCAAUCUCGGGACCAGAAGCCAGCUCCGUCGCCGCCAGGGCCGAGCAAAAGCGAGUCGGGCUCUGAUACAUUCCGUGGGGGCGCGAACUAGACGAUGGCACCAGACCGACGGCGACCCGGGACACCACCACCGAGCACGGCUUUUUCUGAAAUCAUCCUGCUCAUCAAUUCUUACAGCACAAUAGUAAUCUUUCACCAUCACAUAACAAAACUUGUUCAUCCAUUUCCCCAACUGGUGAGUAUCCGUUCAAAUUCCAAUUCUUUGCCACCACAAUAUUUUAUAUAUAUGCUAUAAAUAUUUUUGUACAGGCAGGUCCUUUCUCCUUAAUUAUCUUAAUGAUCUUAAUGUGUAUAUAGACCCGAAGCUUCUAAUAAAAGCCAAGUACUGGGUUUUGGGGGGGUGGUGUAGAUCUGUAUAAACCCAUCACUUGAAUCUGGUAGUUUGGAGAUAUGAUCAAUCAUAUCACUUUU